CUAGCAGUCCAUUGUGCCACCUAGCUGUCAUGCAAUCCCUGGGAAGAACCUUCCAAAUGGACUGUGCUAUCAACUGCUGAACAAAGAGACAGACCUAGUACAACCCUGUGUCACAAGAAAACCAGUAAAGGACAAAUGGAGAGUGAGGAG